UACGAAGGGGGCUAGCGUUGCUCGGAAUUACUGGGCGUAAAGGGAGCGUAGGCGGACAUUUAAGUCAGGGGUGAAAUCCCGGGGCUCAACCUCGGAACUGCCCUUGAUACUGGAUGUCUUGAGUGUGAGAGAGGUAUGUGGAACUCCGAGUGUAGAGGUGAAAUUCGUAGAUAUUCGGAAGAACACCAGUGGCGAAGGCGACAUACUGGUUCAUUACUGACGCUGAGGCUCGAAAGCGUGGGGAGCAAACAGG
rnacentral:rRNA from 1 species